rnacentral:rRNA from 1 species
GAGUUUGAUUCUGGCUCAGGAUAAACGCUGGCGGUGUACAUAAGACAUGCAAGUUGAACGGUAGAAAUCAGAAUGUUUAUCUUUCUGACGGAAGCCGUAGCGGACGGGUGAGUAACACGUAAGCAACCUACCUAUAAGAGGGGGAUAACAGUGAGAAAUUACUGAUAAUACCGCAUAAGCUAACGCUAUCGCAUGAUAAAGUUAGAAAAGAUUUAUCGCUUAUAGAUGGGCUUGCGUCUGAUUAGCUAGUUGGUGAGAUAACAGCUCACCAAGGCGACGAUCAGUAGCCGGAUUGAGAGGUUGAACGGCCACAUUGGGACUGAGACACGGCCCAGACUCCUACGGGAGGCAGCAGUCGGGAAUAUUGCACAAUGGAGGAAACUCUGAUGCAGUGACACCGCGUAUAGGAAGAAGGUCUUAGGAUUGUAAGCUAUUGUCGUGUGAGAAGAAAAUGACUAU